rfam:Salmo salar isolate Sally breed double haploid chromosome ssa03, whole genome shotgun sequence.
GCUGUGAUGGCCGAGAGAUUAAGGCGUUGUACUCGAAAUCCAAUGGGGUCUCCCCGCGCAGUUCGAACCCUGCUCGCAGCG